rnacentral:rRNA from 1 species
GACAGAGGGUGCAAACGUUGUUCGGAAUUACUGGGCGUAAAGCGCGUGUAGGCGGCCCUGCAAGUCGGGUGUGAAAUCCCACGGCUCAACCGUGGAAGUGCGCCCGAAACUGCUGUGCUUGAGUGCCGGAGAGGGUGGCGGAAUUCCCCAAGUAGAGGUGAAAUUCGUAGAUAUGGGGAGGAACACCGGUGGCGAAGGCGGCCACCUGGACGGUAACUGACGCUGAGACGCGAAAGCGUGGGGAGCAAACAGG